GGGUUGUGAGGUUAAGCGACUAAGCGUACACGGUGGAUGCCCUGGCAGUCAGAGGCGAUGAAGGACGUGCUAAUCUGCGAUAAGCGUCGGUAAGGUGAUAUGAACCGUUAUAACCGGCGAUUUCCGAAUGGGGAAACCCAGUGUGAUUCGUCACACUAUCAUUAACUGAAUCCAUAGGUUAAUGAGGCGAACCGGGGGAACUGAAACAUCUAAGUACCCCGAGGAAAAGAAAUCAACCGAGAUUCCCCCAGUAGCGGCGAGCGAACGGGGAGCAGCCCAGAGCCUGAAUCAGUGUGUGUGUUAGUGGAAGCGUCUGGAAAGGCGUGCGAUACAGGGUGACAGCCCCGUACACAAAAAUGCACAUGCUGUGAGCUCGAUGAGUAGGGCGGGACACGUGGUAUCCUGUCUGAAUAUGGGGGGACCAUCCUCCAAGGCUAAAUACUCCUGACUGACCGAUAGUGAACCAGUACCGUGAGGGAAAGGCGAAAAGAACCCCGGCGAGGGGAGUGAAAAAGAACCUGA
rnacentral:rRNA from 1 species